rfam:Auraticoccus monumenti strain MON 2.2 genome assembly, chromosome: I
CUGGUGCCGGUUCACGUCCUGUGUCGCAGGGCGACCCGGCGCC